UGUGACAUCAGCUGAUGUAAGAAGGGUUUUAUAAAUACAUUUGAUUGAUUGAUUGAAAUUUGAUUGAAUUAUAAAACAAUAAAUAAUUCAUUAUUCUCCUGCUGUAGCAUACUGGCUCAAAUUAAGAUCCUACAUCUGUACAUGUUAUGUUUACUACUACAGUCUGAGGGUCUUCUGUUCAUGGGCUUACUUAAGCAGAAGACCCAAUACCAGAUUACCAGAUCAUAAGGAGUGUCAGCUACAACAACAGCGGGGACUACAGAUGUGAUGCUAGGAAGGAUCUCACCGGAAAAUAUGUCUCUAUGGGCCAUAGUCUGUCAGUUAAAGGAACAAGAAAGAGACCAAUGAAGAGAAAGAUACAGACACACUGAGCAGAUCGUCCCGGACAGAAGAUAUGUCCAUGUCCAGCCCUGACAAAGGACGUGAGGGGCACGAACUGACCACCCAAAUCCAGGAAAGAACCCAUGAUCGCAAGCAACCACAACCAGGCACCAGCCAUACUAUAGCCACCAGCCAUGUACCAGGAACCAAAGCUUCUGCAGGUGUACACAAGUAUGAGUACGUAGGAAAUAAGAAAACUGGAGCUCCAACACCACCUCAAGAAUGAGUUUCCACCACAAAGUUAAAUAAAACAAUUAUGAUAUUGUAUACCUAUGGUUCCCACCAUGUCCUGUAUGAGUUAUUUACAGCGAUAGCAGCAUUGUGACAGACUGUGGGUCUGUUAGUAUACUUCAGUGACUGAGUCCUUUACUGUUCUCUCUCAGGGAAAACUUCCUACCAGACAAACCAACACUGACACUUUGCCUCGGUGUAACGGCUGUCUUUGGAAGAAGAGGACCAAGGCGCAGCGUGGUGAGUGCUCAUCAUUUAAUAUAUAUUCUGAGAACACAAUAUACAAAGCGAAAACGACAGCCAAACAGUUCUGUCAGAUCUACAAACCACUAAACAGAAAUUAACCACCCACAAAACCCAAAGGAAA